CAUACCUAUACGUUGCUUCGGCGGCCGUCCCCCGGGGCGUCCGCCGGAGGAUAACCAAACUCUGAUUUAACGACGUUUCUUCUGAGUGGCACAAGCAAAUAAUCAAAACUUUUAACAACGGAUCUCUUGGUUCUGGCAUCGAUGAAGAACGCAGCGAAAUGCGAUAAGUAAUGUGAAUUGCAGAAUUCAGUGAAUCAUCGAAUCUUUGAACGCACAUUGCGCCCGCCAGCAUUCUGGCGGGCAUGCCUGUUCGAGCGUCAUUUCAACCCUCAAGCACUGCUUGGUGUUGGGGCUCUACGGUUGACGUAGGCCCCCAAAACUAGUGGCGGACCCUCUCGGAGCCUCCUUUGCGUAGUAACUUUUGUCUCGCACUGGGAUUCGGAGGGACUCUAGCCGUUAAACCCCCCAAUUUUCUAAAGGUUGACCUCGGAUCAGGUAGGAAUACCCGCUGAACUUAAGCAUAUCAAUAA
rnacentral:rRNA from 1 species